rnacentral:rRNA from 1 species
GACAGAGGGUGCAAACGUUGUUCGGAAUUACUGGGCGUAAAGCGCGUGUAGGCUGUUCUGCAAGUCGGGUGUGAAAGCCCCGGGCUCAACCUGGGAAGUGCACUCGAAACUGCAGAACUCGAGUCCUGGAGAGGAAGGCGGAAUUCUCGGUGUAGAGGUGAAAUUCGUAGAUAUCGAGAGGAACGCCGGUGGCGAAGGCGGCCUUCUGGACAGUGACUGACGCUGGGACGCGAAAGCGUGGGGAGCAAACAGG